CUCAUUUGAACAUAAACAACCACUCAAGCAGUCACAAAAAGUGUUUCCUCAAGUUCAGCUCAACGAUUUCUUGCUAACAGCCUUUUCUACUGCGGAUUUCUUCCUUCAUUACAAGAACUAAAGAGUCACAGAGACUGACCAGAGCGACUAAAGUAACUUUCAUCAUGGAAAAUUGUGACGUUCCCGUUCUCCUGACCGACAACCAGACAGGAAGGAGAACCUCUGCUCGCCAGGCAGAGAGCGCGUCGAGGCCCUCAGCCUGGAGACAGUGUUCAUGCUGCAGGGACAAGCAGGGGCCGACUCUAAAGAGAAAGCGCCGGCCCUCUGCUGCUCCCGGAGACCUUCACCAGAAGAGGAAGCGCACCUCCGGAGGCCGUCCCCUCCCUGACCAUCCAGAGGUGUUGGACUGUGUCCCCGCUGUGCAGCCCUCCCCAGCUGGUGACCAUUCAGGGUCUUUGGUGGAGAAGCCUAGAGCCACCAUCCCACCUGCUGACCUGCCCCGAGUCUCCUGUGUGGCCCCCAGCCUCCAGCCCUCCACUGCUCCACUGCACGACGGGCCUCUGAAGAUAUUCAACCUCCCAGUGGAAGAAUACCAGCAGCUGUACCACGAGGUUGUUGAUGAAAUGCUGAGGUUCAAGAGCGGCCGUCUGCGUCCUUACACUCUGAGCCUGGGGCGCGUCAUCAAGCAGAAGCUGUGGCAGAGACUGGACCGUCCCCUGUUCACCGAAACAGUCAACGGAGACGGACUGGUGCACGUGGAUGUCUCCUACGGGGUUGGAGUCUUCCCUCCCCUCCACCAGUUGUUUUUGGACUCCACACGUCCAGAUGUACCAGGAGCUGAUCGAGAGCCACCGGGACCAUUCCUUCUACCACAAGAGUCGUGUUCCAGAGAUGCUUAUUCCUCCUCCACCUUCACUACACAUUCCUGCUCCUCGUCUGGACCUUUGCAUUAUUGUUCAAUAAAUGAAUUGUUUGCAGUCA
ensembl:lncRNA